rnacentral:rRNA from 1 species
AGUGAACGCUGGCGGUAGGCCUAACACAUGCAAGUCGAACGGCGGCACAGUAAGAGCUUGCUCUUACGGGUGGCGAGUGGCGGACGGGUGAGGAAUACAUCGGAAUCUACUUUUUCGUGGGGGAUAACGUAGGGAAACUUACGCUAAUACCGCAUACGACCUACGGGUGAAAGCAGGGGAUCUUCGGACCUUGCGCGAUUGAAUGAGCCGAUGUCGGAUUAGCUAGUUGGCGGGGUAAAGGCCCACCAAGGCGACGAUCCGUAGCUGGUCUGAGAGGAUGAUCAGCCACACUGGAACUGAGACACGGUCCAGACUCCUACGGGAGGCAGCAGUGGGGAAUAUUGGACAAUGGGCGAAAGCCUGAUCCAGCCAUACCGCGUGGGUGAAGAAGGCCUUCGGGUUGUAAAGCCCUUUUGUUGGGAAAGAAAAGCAGCAGGUUAAUACCCCGCUGUUCUGACGGUACCCAAAGAAUAAGCACCGGCUAACUUCGUG